GACGAACGCUGGCGGCGCGCUUAACACAUGCAAGUCGAGCGAUGAAAUUUCGACAGAUCCCUUCGGGGUGAAGAUGAAAUGGAUUAGCGGCGGACGGGUGAGUAACACGUGAGUAACCUGCCUUUGACAUUGGGAUAGCCUCGGGAAACUGGGAUUAAUACCAAAUGACACUAACUGAUCACAUGAUCAAUUAGUCAAAGAAAUUCGGUCAAAGAUGGACUCGCGGCUGAUUAGCUAGUUGGUGAGGUAACGGCCCACCAAGGCGACGAUCAGUAGCCGGACUGAGAGGGUGAUCGGCCACAUUGGAACUGAGACACGGUCCAAACUCCUACGGGAGGCAGCAGUGGGGAAUAUUGCACAAUGGGGGAAACCCUGAUGCAGCGACGCCGCGUGAGCGAAGAAGGCCUUCGGGUCGUAAAGCUCUUUUAUGAGGGAAGAUAAUGACGGUACCUCAAGAAAAAGCCCCGGCUAACUACGUG
rnacentral:rRNA from 1 species